ACAACUGCAGCGAGAGAAGAGGCUGGCAGCAUGGGUGGCAGGAGGCUUGGCAGCCUCACAGGAUGCCUGCAAAUACCUUUCACUUAUGCAGUUUGGCAGUGCAGUGGUGCAUGGAGACAGCGUCUUGGGCCUGGCACCCACAGCCACUUAGGAAGUUGGAGUCCUGGAGAGGAGAACACAGAACGUGGACAACUAGCUGUCAAAUUGCAGUAAAAGUUGGUUCAGGAAAAGUGGAAGCUACCCAGAUGUCUACCAAUUGAGAUGAACCAUCCAAUCUCCUGCCUCGAGUAUUGAAGCCUGGCUACUGUGACUGUGGGGAAGGGAUUAAUGGUCUCAGCAUUCAAAGCUUCUAUUCUGGAAUAGAACAGCUAGCAUACUACCAAGACUUUUCAAGGAGCAAGAAUGGAGCUCCCUGGAGAACUGACUGAACAUGGCUUCAGAGGCAGUAUCCAUGUCACAUUUCAAAGGCCAGAUCUUUCCCAGGGCUUAAGCUGUUCCUUGGAUACUUUUGCUGAUGGUUUACACAUCUUCUUCCCACAUUAUAUUGUAACUUUCUUACGAGCAGGACCUACUUCUGAUCCAGUUCUAUUGUAAAACCGAGACGGGGUCUCACUGUGUCAUCCAGGCUGGAGUGCAGUGGCACAAUCAUACCUCACUGCAGCUUCAACCUCCUGAUCUCAAGCUAUCCUCCAGCUUCAGCUUCCUGAGUAGCUAGGACUACAGUGGAGUCUCCGGCCAGAAUUAAUUAGAACAGCACUUUUGUGGCUUGUACAUGGACACUCAUCUUCAUUUCUUGGACUCUGAGCCUCAAUUUCUCAUUCAAGUGGAGAAAGCAUAUAACAAGAAUAUGGGAGCAAACUCAAGUCCUGCAUCUCAUCCCUGAUGCCCCUUCCUCAGUCUACUCACAUGAGCAUAACUCAGGAAGAAGAGCUGGUUGUUGGUGAAUGUGAUGCCUGGUAGAAGAGGCUCCUCAAGUCCCUGCCUUCUGUCAUUUAUCCAUUUCCUGUAAGCCUGGUGAGAGAAGAAGAAGAGAUGAGUCUCUGCAACGGUCCUCUCAUUUAUUGAUUGCUGUACUAAGUAUUUGAAACUGACACUAGCAGCAGGGAUAUUCAGCCCAGGCCUGGGAGCAUGAUGGAACAUCAAGUGGAUUCAAAGAUUUAAUUUCAUUAAAUUCCAAGAGAAGCCACAGAGUCUCACUCUGUCGCCCAGGCUGUAGUGCACUGGCACAAUCUCGGCUCACUGCAACCUCCGCCUUUUGGGUUCAAGUGAUUCUCCUGCCUCAGCCUCCCGAGCAGCUAGGAUUACAGGCGCCUGCCACCAAGCCUGGCUAAUUUUUUAUAUUUUUGGUAGAGAUGAGGUUUCACCACGUCGGCCAGGCUGGUCUCGAACUCCCAACCUCAGGUGAUCCGCCUGCCUCAGCCUCCCAAAGUGCUGGGAUUACAGGCGUGAGCCACCAUGCCCGGCCUAAGAUCUCUUGAGGGCAAAAGUUUGAAAUAAUCCCCCCUGCCGAUCUUUAUAUUUUGCUGUUUGUCUUGUGACACAAUGGUUAUCGCAGGGAUUCCUGGCAUGCCAGGUUUAGAUAUACAAGCCCUGAGCUUGGCAAUGUGCUGGCACUUUACAAAUUCGUCUCAUUAAAUCUUCCCCUAAAACCCUAUGGGCUAGAUAGCCUCAACAUGUGGCAGACAGGACAAUAGGGGUCUGGAAGGAUAAAAACCUCGACUAAGGCCAUACAAACUAGAUCUCUGAUUCAUGUUCUCACCUUGCCACUCUGAAAAGCAGCAAGAUCAGUGUCGCAGUUAUCACAAAGUUAGGGUUAAGCACCAAUCAUUUCAGAUUUGUGUUUUCCUCUUUAACCACCUUAUUCAAAUAUAAUUAAAUUUUAUGACAGCUACUGAGUUUAACUCCUCAUACAGCAGAUUUAAAUCAUUAUAAUUUCACACUACAUGCCAUGUCUAGAGACGUUGCUACCCAGCUUGACAAGGGAAGAAAAAUAAGAAGUUGUAACCACCCUGUAAAAAUCUAACAUUGAAAGAUGGCCACAAAUCAUAGGGUUCCACACAAAGGCAUGGAUUUGAAAAAGAAAAAACAACUACAGGUUUUUCUGUUUUCUAUUCAAGUCUCUAUUGCGUGCAGAAGAAGAUUUAAGUAGCAUAAAUCAGAAAAUGAUAAUGGGAACUGAAUGAAAUUGUCAUAAAUCACGUUACUAAGUAUAGUUACAUCUUAGAUGUAAAACCCAAUUAAACAGAUGGCCACAUGCUGUCAGAAUCAGCCCCUAAUCAAUAAAGAUGUUCAUUUUAGAGAAUCACCUCAAUUUUUCACUUCUUCAGCGAAGCAAAAAGAAGGCAGUUGUAGGGUGGGGGAAGUCCCAGGAAACCCGGUGGGGAAGUGUGUAAGAAGAAACUCCACCUGUCUUAAUUUGUAGUCCAGAAAAUCAGAAAGGAGAGAGGGGAAAAAAAAGUCACCCAAAGGAUUCCUUGUCAUCUUGCCUGGGAAUGUAAUUUACAAUGAGAGCAAGCACUGGUCAUUAGGAAAACAGAAACAGCUUGAAUCUCUUAAUUAAAAUACUGUUUCAAAUUGUUCAUUUUAAAAAAAACCCUCUGCCCAUGAGCUUUCAUGAAACCAUUGGGUUACCCUGAAAUGGUUUCUUCCUCAGUAAACCUCUGAUAGGAUUAGCCCUUCCCAGGCAAGAAAAAGGCUGAGCAGGGGUGAACCCUGGAGAUGGAACUAUUAUUAGACACACUUAAGUACCCCAAGGAGCAGUAAGCCUUCAGUGACAUUUUAAAGUGAAUGCGGAAACGUCGGCUUUUCUUGCAUCAGAGCUGAUCUCUUACACUCGCUAGACUGGUGAAAAUUAAAUCUACCAAUGCCAAGAGUUGAUGAAAAUGAGGAACAACAGAAACACUUCUGUACUUUGGAACACCAGCUUUGGAAAACAUUUGAUAUUAUCUGGUAGAUAACUUCUUCCUAUCAGCCAAUAAUUCCACUCCUGGAUGUAUACCCUCAGACACUUGUUCCAAGAGACAUUCACAAGAAUAUGCAGAGCAGCACUGUUCAUAAGCAAAAACCUGGGUGUGGGGACUCAUAGGCUGGACAACAGAAGAAUAAACAAUCUGGGGGUACAGUCAUGAAAUAUUAUACAGCAGUGAACAUGAAAACAACCUACCACCACAUGCUACACGAACAAAUCCUAAAAACAUGUUGACUGAAAAAUCGCAGUUGUUUAAGAUUGCAUACAGUAAGAUACCAUUUUUAUUAUACUAAGAAACAAGUAAAAAUAAACAACAUAUUCUUUAGGGAUACCUAUAUAAAUAAAGUUUUAUUUUAAAAAAACAAAACAAAAAUGAUAAACCCUCAAAUCAGAAGAGUGUUACUUCUGUGGUGAGAGGGAGGGAUGGUUCCUGAUGGGGUGAGGGCGUCGUAGGCACAUAUUAAUUUCGUCAUGUUUUCAUAUAUUCUUUAUAACUUAUAUGUGCCAAAAUGUUACAUGUUCUUUUGCAUGUACCAAAUAUUAGACAAUAAAACGUUUUUAAGUGAAUAAUCUAAACAAUUUCUAUUUCCCAAUAGAAUGUCCUAAAUGUGAUUAUAAUUAAUAAUAAAUUAUUAUAAGUAUUAGUUAUAAUUAAUAACUCAAAUAUCAUAAGUUCCCAUAUAACAUAUGCAACUUAGUUCUCAAGUUGGCAUUUAGGGCCUUAAGAAAGCAAUGGUAGUUUCGUGAUAAUGAAUAUUUAUACAGUAAGAAGUGACAUUCAAAAUAUUUAACAACUUACUUGGU